UACGUAGGGGGCAAGCGUUGCUCGGAAUGACUGGGCGUAAAGGGCGCGUAGGCGGUUUGGACAGUCAGGCGUGAAAUUCCUGGGCUUAACCUGGGGGCUGCGCUUGAUACAUCCAGACUUGAGUGGGGAAGAGGGUCGUGGAAUUCCCAGUGUAGAGGUGAAAUUCGUAGAUAUUGGGAAGAACACCGGUGGCGAAGGCGGCGACCUGGUCCUUUACUGACGCUGAGGCGCGAAAGCGUGGGGGGCAAACAGG
rnacentral:rRNA from 1 species